CGAACGGGUGAGUAACGCGUUAGCAACCUGCCUAUGACAGUGGGAUAGCCUCGGGAAACCGGGAUUAAUACCGCAUAAAAUCGUAGAAACACAUGUUUUAACGGUCAAAGAUUUAUCGGUCAUAGAUGGGCUCGCGUAUGAUUAGCUAGUUGGUGAGAUAACAGCCCACCAAGGCGACGAUCAGUAGCCGGUCUGAGAGGAUGAACGGCCACAUUGGAACUGAGACACGGUCCAA
rnacentral:rRNA from 1 species